rnacentral:rRNA from 1 species
AGUGAACGCUGGCGGUAGGCCUAACACAUGCAAGUCGAACGGCAGCACAGUAAGAGCUUGCUCUUACGGGUGGCGAGUGGCGGACGGGUGAGGAAUACAUCGGAAUCUACUUUUUCGUGGGGGAUAACGUAGGGAAACUUACGCUAAUACCGCAUACGACCUACGGGUGAAAGCAGGGGAUCUUCGGACCUUGCGCGAUUGAAUGCGCCGAUGUCGGAUUAGCUAGUUGGCGGGGUAAAGGCCCACCAAGGCGGCGAUCCGUAGCUGGUCUGAGAGGAUGGUCGGCCACACGGGAACUGGGACACGGACCAGACUCCUACGGGAGGGAGCAGUGGGGAAUAGUGGACAAUGGGCGCAAGCCUGAUCCAGCCAUACCGAGUGGGUGAAGAAGGCCUUCGGGUUGUAAAGCCCUUUUGUUGGGAAAGAAAAGCAGCAGGUUAAUACCCCGCUGUUCUGACGGUACCCAAAGAAUAAGCACCGGCUAACUUCGUG